UACGUAGGGUGCGAGCGUUGUCCGGAAUUAUUGGGCGUAAAGGGCUCGUAGGCGGUCUGUCGCGUCGGGAAUGAAAACUCAGGGCUUAACCCUGAGCCUGCUUCCGAUACGGGCAGACUAGAGGUAUGCAGGGGAGAACGGAAUUCCUGGUGUAGCGGUGAAAUGCGCAGAUAUCGGGAAGAACACCCGUGGCGAAGGCGGCUCUCUGGAACGCAACUGACGCUGAGACGCGAAAGCGUGGGGAGCAAACAGG
rnacentral:rRNA from 1 species